UAUGCCCAAUGUUAACAUGGGCUAGUGUCGGCUCAUAUACCCAUUUACCUAACACCAUGUACCUACCUAUAACAUAACUUUUGACUUGCAAUUUUUUCAUAAUACACUGUUGUAAUAUACUUAGACAGAAACUAUACAACAUACAACGACACUGAGAUUAAUGCACUUAUUGGAAAAUGUUUUUGAAUAUUAUUUCUAAUUGCUAAUAGGUAACUUAUUACAAACACUUUAAAGUGGACAAUUAAAUAUAUCACAGUCCCAUCAUUUAGGGAUAAUUUAGCAAGUUAUGAACAAAUAAAGUAAAUUAAAAGAAACUACGAAUAGGUCUGUACAUAAGUUAUAAAUAUAGGCAUAAACAUAAAUGGACAAUAGUGACUGUAUACAGGGUGUUAGUUUCUUAUGUUAAUAAAAUAAGAAUGAGACUAAAAAAAGGGUAAGUAAGUACAUACCUGCUAUAAAAUAUCUUGGCUUGGCCAUAAGAAGUUAAAAAAAUAAUACAUAUCCAUAAUAGACAGAUGUAUUAACACCUUGUUUACGUUUGAAUAUGUAUAUUUUGGGCAUUCUAAUACAA